GGUGAACAUCGAAAAGUCCUUUAGAAAAUGAAUCCCGCUCCACAGUCGCGCAUCUACACAAUAUUUAGUUCAUAAAAAAGAAAGAGUCGUGUUUAGCUACCAAAAAAAAGUUCGUCGCUGAAUUUGCCGUCGAUUCUCGAUGCGACUAUGUUUUAUGCCGAACUAGUUUCUUCAGAGCGUAAUAUGAUCUUGGUCACGAGUAGUGGCACGGUUCGACACGUGAUCGGUCUACACCAAUGAGGUAGCUGCUUUUUGUCAACAGAAUGGCAAGAUGGCGUCCUCGAGCAGUACGGAAGACGAAGAAAAUACACCGGAAUAUAUUAAUAAAUCAAAAAACAAACAUUGUUUUAUGCAUAUUACUUCAGUCAAGCACGAGGAGGUACAUUAUUUAACCACUACACGAUGGAAUACAUACAGGACAAGCCUACAAACGUGGCUCGGUUUGGACGGUGAGUCCCGGGACGUGGCUGAGAACUUCGAACACUGUGUUGAUGUGGAGUUUGACAAUAUUCCCGAGGAUGCUGGCUUUCAUCACACGUGCUACCGUAGAUUUACGGACAAAAAAUCCAUGGCAAAGGUGGAAAGAAGGAGAAGUUCGUCAACCGAGCAGGCAAACGACAAAGGGAUACUCUGUCAAAGGCUGAAACAUUAACAGCAGGCCAAUUGCAGAAAGCUGCCGAGUUGAAGGAGGACCAAAGUAUUCUUUUGCAUAUAAAAGACAAAGACUGUGUGGCUCUGGAGGUGCAGUACCACAAAGGCUGUUAUAAUCAGUACACCAGGUUUUUGACGAGGCCUGAAAAACCAGAGAAAGACCAGAAUGAGCCCACGUUUGAUGUCAGCGAUAAGAUAUUCUGUGUAAGGAUCAUUCGCCAAAGGCUGCUUGUCAACCAAGAGGUGCUGAGAAUGGGCCAGCUGAGGAAGGCCUUCAUUGAACUGGUGAAAGCACAUGAAGGUCUUGAUGCUUCAAACUACAGGGAACUGCAAUGCAUUUUUCUCUCACGUCUUAUGAUUUGUCAUGUGCAAGUCCAGCUUUACACAACAUGUGUGUGACAGGCCUGAGAAACUGUUUUUAAUUCUUGCUGUUUGCACAAACAUGUACCAGUUGGCAACAAGGAGAAGUGUGUGUGCGUGCGUGAUGUUGUGUGCCUUUCUUGGGCAUCUUUGGUGUUAAAUGUGCUGUAUGGCAGAUAGGUUCUAGCCUGUAAUGUCUUGUACCACCUGCACCACUCUCUGCUUUUCAUGAUACUCCUGUGACUCUUAAUUGUCACUGUUUUGUUGUGUUGCAGACAGGAUAUGUUGAAGGAGAGGCUGGCUCGUGAUUUCCCCCAGCUGGUGUUUCACAUCCCCACCAAGCGCAACAUCUGCGAGCUGGUUUUUGCAGAGACCCUGUCAACCAUUGACAUUACCAAGGUGUCAUCAGCUCUCGGAACCAGUGUGUGUUCAGCCUUGAUCGGAAUUCACACAUUCUCUGGGUGUGACUCCACAAGUGCCUUUUAUGGCAAAGGGAAAAAAAAGACAUUUUCUGUUGCA